AGAACAUUACCAUCCAUAAUUUAAAAACUGAGCAAAAGUAACAUUUUGAGAAGAGAUGAAAACAGAAGAUGGAAUCCAGCAACAUAUACUAAUAAUAGCAAAGGUUCGAGCAUAAGCAUAAACUCAUGAAAGUAUAAAAUCCAAAAAGAAAAGGGAGGACAUUCUUGUUAUUUAGGAGGCUUGGUCUUCGGCCUCGGUGAUGGCUUUCGUAGUUGGAGUUCCCUUUUCGGCCAACAGAUCUGUGUACUCUUGAUACGGAGAUUUUUUAAAACUCGUCUCUUUCCAGAACUCUGGUGUCAGGAAUCCGUAAGUCUUCUGGAGGCAGUCGAAUGUAGCCUGCAAACACAAUGAGGCAGAGAGAUUAAACCAAUGAAACGAUUCACAAACAUCCAACAUAACAAACCAAUAGAUACUGAAAAAACGAACAAUUAAGGUUAUAUAUAGGAGGUACAAACUGAGGUUAUUCUGUAUUCAAAUCUCUAUCAAAAUUGAUGAUGAUCAGACUGAUCAAGCUUGCGAUUAGACAUAAACACACAAACACAACCAUAUGACGAACAGACAGCUCAAUAUUAACCAUUUACUUUAGAAUGCAGCAAACAGAUGGCAUAAGGGAAACAAAAAGAUGAGACGGAAGAUUAAUUAAUGAAUGAUUAACAAAGCAAUACAUAAUCAAAAACUGAGGUUACUAAAAUCUCUAUCAGGAUUAAUAAUGUUCCGACAGAUAAUGUCUGAAGCGACUCUAAUUACCCACAAACAGACAGGUCAAUGGAUAAUUUACUACAGAACACACAGCUAAAAAUGGCACUAAACAAUAACUAAACGAUCUAAAAUGACAGAAAGAAUUCACAUUUAAAAAAGUAAUUGACAUUUCAAAGCAAUUCGCUCAAAAGGAAACAACUUUUCAGAAAGAUCAAACCUUGACGAAGUUUCCAAGAGUCUUAGUAGAUCCCCUGGAAGAAGUGAAAACAUCAUCAAUCCCAGCGAACUGAAGAACCUUCUUAGGAACCCUAGCGGCCACGAUACCAGCACCUCUCGGAGCAGGCACCAUCCUCACCGUAACGGAACCACACUUCCCCGUAACCUUACAAGGAACCGUAUGAGGCUUCCCAAUCUUGUUACCCCAGUAACCUCUCCUCACCGGAAUCACAGACAGCUUCGCCAAUAUAAUCCCACCUCUGAUAGCAGUAGCCACCUCCUUAGAGCACUUCACACCCAAACCAACAUGCCCAUUCGUGUCUCCGACAACAACAAAGGCCUUGAACCUCGUCCUCUGACCGGCUCUGGUCUGUUUCUGAACCGGCAUGAUCUUCAUCACUUCGUCUUUGAGAGUUGGACCGACGAGGAGAUCGAUGAUCUGGUACUCCUUGACUGGGAGCGAGUGGAGGUAGAUCUGCUCCAGCUU
rnacentral:lncRNA from 1 species